rnacentral:misc_RNA from 1 species
GAAAUGCGAUAAGUAAUGUGAAUUGCAGAAUUCCGUGAAUCAUCGAAUCUUUGAACGCACAUUGCGCCCUCUGGUAUUCCGGGGGGCAUGCCUGUCCGAGCGUCAUUGCGAACCCCUCAAGCACGGCUUGUGUGAUGGGCCCUCCCGCGUCUUGGUCGUCAAGACGGGCCCGAAAUGCAGUGGCGGCUUCGCGGUUAUCCGAUCAGUCAGAGCGUAUGGGGACUUUCUCUCUGUCACACGCCCGCGGCGCGGACCGACGCCUGUCGACCUUUAUUCAUCUUUUUCUCGGUUGACCUCGGAUCAGGUAGGGAUACCCGCUGAACUUAAGC